rnacentral:rRNA from 1 species
UACGAAGGGAGCUAGCGUUGUUCGGAAUCACUGGGCGUAAAGGGUGCGUAGGCGGGUCUUUAAGUCAGGGGUGAAAUCCUGGAGCUCAACUCCAGAACUGCCUUUGAUACUGAAGAUCUUGAGUUCGGGAGAGGUGAGUGGAAUUCCCAGUGUAGAGGUGAAAUUCGUAGAUAUUGGGAAGAACACCGGUGGCGAAGGCGGCUCACUGGCUCGUUUCUGACGCUCAGGCGCGAUAGCGUGGGGAUCAAACAGG